CGAAUACCCUGGAUCAGCUGGGGCUGGUCCCCGGCAGGUGGCGCCCGAGACAGGAUAUUCCAAGAGGACGCAGAUUCACCAAUUUGGGUUCCAGACAGGCCAGGUUCGAGGCACGCGCUUGCUCGCCCCGCCCACCAGGCAGCUCUCGCCUCCGCGCUUCCAGCCUCGCCCUGCACCCUCCUCGCUGCACCCCACGACCUAGAGCAAAGAAGUUUGUGCAGCAAGUGAGGGCCAGAGAGGAGAGCGCACCCGCAAAGUGCCAUCCAGACCAGCGCAGCGCCCGCCAGCAGGGGAGACAAGAUAAACAUCGAGAUCCCGGCGAGACUGACAGGGCUGCUGCAGCGUGAAGUCCAACCAAAAAAUAAUUCUAUUUAUUCUGUUUUAGCUUGUCUACCCUUGCCUUAUGUUUUCCUUUUUACUAAUGACUUCAACAAACUUAAUGUAUUCAUGAAUUAUUCAGGUGGACCUAACGUGGUAACUUGUGAACAAUGUAUGCUUUCAUCUUGUUUAAACCCUCAAUGUAAUGUUUGCUCCUUUGUGGUGUUACAAUGCCCAUCCUAUCUUAUGGUGCCUAUAUGAUA